AUCGGCAUUGCUGAUGAGCGUCGGGCUAUUCGAUGUUCGCAACUGCCGCUUUCGCUUCCUACCUUUGACCACGGAUGUACUGGCACCGGUGAAUGAAGCGACGAUGAGGAAGGUCGGUGCAAUUUUGCCCGGCCUUUUUUCAUU
rnacentral:sRNA from 2 species